GAGUUUGAUCCUGGCUCAGAGCGAACGCUGGCGGCAGGCCUAACACAUGCAAGUCGAACGGAUCCUUCGGGAUUAGUGGCGGACGGGUGAGUAACACGUGGGAACGUGCCCUUUGGUUCGGAACAACUCAGGGAAACUUGAGCUAAUACCGGAUGUGCCCUUCGGGGAAAGAUUUAUCGCCAUUGGAGCGGCCCGCGUCUGAUUAGCUAGUUGGUGAGGUAAAGGCUCACCAAGGCGACGAUCAGUAGCUGGUCUGAGAGGAUGAUCAGCCACAUUGGGACUGAGACACGGCCCAAACUCCUACGGGAGGCAGCAGUGGGGAAUCUUGCGCAAUGGGCGAAAGCCUGACGCAGCCAUGCCGCGUGAAUGAUGAAGGUCUUAGGAUUGUAAAAUUCUUUCACCGGGGACGAUAAUGACGGUACCCGGAGAAGAAGCCCCGGCUAACUUCGUGCCAGCCGCCGCCGUAAG
rnacentral:rRNA from 1 species